GUAAAAAGAAGAAAUUUACAAGUUCAGAGAUUGAAGUCCUGCUGUCAGAGAUCGAUAAAAGAAAAUCUGUCCUUUUUAGCAGCGUAAAUCGUGGAGUUAAAGGACCGACUAAAGCCAAAGAAUGGCAUGAAAUAACUGCUGCUGUUAAUUCUGUGUGUCUCCUGUGGGCCGUACAGUCGCCGAAACAAAAAAAAAGUGGUUUGAUUUGAAAAUGGCUUCAAAAAAACGUCUCGCCACAGCACGGUGCUCAAUGACUGCAACAGGAGGAGGUCAAGGUAAGGUCUGCGUUACCGACAUGGAUGUGAAAAUAAAUGCCAUAAUGGGUGAGGUUUGUGUGUCAGGCAUUCCAUCGGAGGAUGUUCCCCUGGACACCGACUUACACCAACCUGGAUGUGAGGAUAUGGCCAGUACACCUGACAGUAAUGAAGAGGAGCACAUGGAACCGCAGGCCGGACCAGCUGACGUGUCAGCCCCCCGCCGUCUCCCACGCACACAAGUGGUAUCAGAUGCCAUUCUGAAAAACCAAGAAAGCCUUUUAAAAUGUCUGGAAACUAUGUCUGGCACUUUGGAAAAAAAUAUCUGACAGUCUGGCACGCAUAGCUGAUGUGCUGACCAAAUCUCAAAAUAAAAUGUGAAUUUAAAAAGUCCAA